rnacentral:rRNA from 1 species
UCGAGAAUCUUCGGCAAUGGGCGAAAGCCUGACCGAGCGAUGCCGCGUGCGGGAUGAAGGCCUUCGGGUUGUAAACCGCUGUCGUAGGGGAGGAAAUGUUAUUGGGUACUCCCUUUAACUUGACCGAUCCUAGGAGGAAGGGCCGGCUAAUCUCGUGCCAGCAGCCGCGGUAAUACGAGAGGCCCAAACGUUAUUCGGAUUUACUGGGCUUAAAGAGUUCGUAGGCGGUCCAGAAAGUUGGGUGUGAAAGCCCUCGGCUCAACCGAGGAACUGCGCUCAAAACUACUGGACUUGAGGGAGAUAGAGGUGAGCGGAACUGAUGGUGGAGCGGUGAAAUGCGUUGAUAUCAUCAGGAACACCGGAGGCGAAGGCGGCUCACUGGGUCUUUUCUGACGCUGAGGAACGAAAGCUAGGGGAGCAAACGG